GUACAAGGUUUCCGUAGGUGAACCUGCGGAAGGAUCAUUG
rnacentral:rRNA from 1 species